UUCACGACACAUCGCAUAGGAAUUUAAAAUAAAUAUUAGGCCUAUAGGUUUAAUACAUAUUGCAUAGAAUAUAGAAAUUUAGAUCUAGUGUUCUGAUUAGUAGUUAUUUCAUGUUUAUUAGAUUAUAGUCUAGAAUCUAAUCAUACGGCUGCAUAAAAAGAAAGUUUGAAGGAAAUAGAAUAGGAAUCUAGAGAAGCGGAGUGUUUUCCGCACUCGAGAGGAAAGAGGUUGCAGGGAACUUAGAGACUAAUCUUUGCCAACAUACUGGAUUUCUGGUGAUGACAAUAGCAGCAGAUAGUAUGCGGCUCAGUUAAUACUAAAAACAAUUGAUUUUACUAAUUAGUGGACUAUGAGUGUGUGUUUGGCCAUCCUGAUUUCAUAACUACAACUGAUGUUCAAUUACAAGGGAUAUUAAUCAGUCUCCGUGGACUAUACACUGUGCCUAGUUUCAUCCUCAGAGACUGAUGUGUAAGCUUAAAGUAAAGACAUCAAAUCAAAGUAUCAGCCAUCAAGAGGAAAAACAUUCAAAAUCAUAUUGUGAUACACAAGUCAAGCAAGUCUGACCAGCAUUUUGAUACAGGCCAAGAAAAAGCUGGAUACUUGAUUGGAAGGGUUGCACAAAAAACAUGGAUUAUCACUAGGGAAACAAGCUCGCAAUACAGUUCACUGUUAGG